UUGGGCCACUCCAAUACAUAUGUAUAUGUAAUGUAAUAGUAAUGGUGGCUUUGAGAGCGAUCAAAUAUUCACAAGAAAAACCUAAAACUUGAAAAAAAGUUGAUAAUAAGUUAGACGGUUGUCCAAAAUUUCGUGCUUUACGUUGAAAAGUAUUUUGUUGUUUUUGAUGUUUUUAUUAUUUUCUUUUUCAAGAUCUCCUUUUAUGUUGGUAUAUUUUUAUAUAUUCCCACAUUCAAUCGAAUUCUCUUCAAAGCUACAAAACAAGUACUCUUCUAGGACACCUUUGCGGGAGAAAAGUUUCAACACUUGGAUGUAACCUAAAAAACACAUUAAUUUAAUAAAUAAAAUUAAAGUUGAACUAAUUUAAAGAGUAUUUCCGAGAAAAUACAAAUGAAACGAAGACGAUAAGUAAUUGGAGCAAGUAAACUGUGAUAAGUGAUUGAAAAUAUUUUCAUUAAAUGUAUGAAUGAAAAUGUCCAUUGUUUCCUUCUUCACCACAUUCUACAUACUUAUAAGGACAAAAAUAACUACAAGAAUAAACAGUGAUUAAAAAAUUACUGGAUGUCCAUUAACAGGACGAUCGAUCAUCCUCAUGACUGGAUUGUUUUUAUAAAUAUUGAAAGUAAUGCUUUCCUACAACGUGGAAGUUCUAUACUGUUCUUGGAUAUGCUUUCAAUACUUCUUAUCAGGCUGCAU